rnacentral:rRNA from 1 species
UACGUAGGGUGCAAGCGUUAAUCGGAAUUACUGGGCGUAAAGCGUGCGCAGGCGGUUUUUGUAAGUCUGUUGUGAAAGUCCGGGGCUCAACCUCGGAUCGGCCGUGGCGACUCGUGGGCUGGAGCACUGUAGAGGCGGGUGGAAUUCCGGGUGUAGCGGUGGAAUGCGUAGAGAUCCGGAAGAACACCAGUGGCGAAGGCGGCCCGCUGGGCAGUGGCUGACGCUGAGGCGCGACAGCGUGGGGGAGCAAACAGG